AGUGAACGCUGGCGGCGUGCCUAACACAUGCAAGUCGAACGAUGAUGGAGAGCUUGCUCUCCUGAUUAGUGGCGCACGGGUGAGUAUACCAUAGAUAAUGUACCUCUUAGUUCGGGAUAGCCACUGGAAACGGUGAUUAAUACCGGGUACUCCUUCUUGUCAAAAGGCAAGUCGGGAAAGUUUUUUCGCUAAGAGAUCAGUCUAUGUCCUAUCAGUUAGUUGGUGAGGUAAUGGCUCACCAAGACUAUGACGGGUAUCUGGUUUGAGAGGAUGAUCAGACACACUGGAACUGAGACACGGUCCAGACUCCUACGGGAGGCAGCAGUGAGGAAUAUUGCACAAUGGAGGAAACUCUGAUGCAGCAACGCCGCGUGGAGGAUGACGCAUUUCGGUGUGUAAACUCCUUUUAAGAGGGAAGAUUAUGACGGUACCUCUUGAAUAAGCACCGGCUAAUUCCGUGCCAGCAGCCGCCGUAA
rnacentral:rRNA from 1 species